GUUGGUCGAACCCCUUUCUUCUCGAAUUCUCUCCUCCGUCGUUGUCUCCGCCAACACCACCCUUGACGCACCGCCGGCCAAGCCUCCCUCCUCCCUCUCCCUCUCCCUCUGGUGGCAUGGAGCCUUUCUUCUCUCUCACCCUUCUCGCGAUCGAUCUACAGCCGACCACCGAACCUGAGCCCUUCUGCCCCUUUCUCGCGAUCGUGCCAUCAUCAACACCUAAUCCAGAGCUCCUCCUCCACCCGCAGUCUCUCCCUCACGGUGACAUUGGGUGUGUGCCACCCAAUCUUGACGAUACCAGCCAUCCCUAGCUAAGCAGCCACUGGGAUCCAGCACAUGAUCGAUCUUUUCCCUUGGGCACUAACGCCAUCUCUGAUGGUGUUGUGCUAGCAAAACCACUAGCCUUGCCUUCUCGUCGAGUGAUCUGUGGAGAAGCAACCUAGGCCACGGCAAGCUAGGACCUGAUUGUGUGCCAUCAUCGGAGGGUGAUCAUCAAGUGUCCUCUUCAUCAGAUCUGAAGUGGAGAGUUCUAUCUUCCUCGUGGUUGCAUCCGGAUGCCUUCACCAAGCUACUGUAAAUCUGCAUAUUGGAAUAGGGUUAAAGCCGCUUGGAGAUCCUGUCCAUCAGUCUCAUGUCACAUCGGGCGACUUCUUCCGUUAUUGCUUCCGUUCGCUUUAUUGGUUUUGGACUUAUUCAUGAAUAUGUAUCUUUGUAUGGAAUUCAGGUUUGUGUUUUCUUGUAUUUGAUUUGAUGUUAUCGUGUUAAGCCGGGUUGACUCAUCGUUAGUUAUUUUGUUGGUUUCACAUU